GGCAUCGCCCGCGGGCAGGGUGGGUUGCGCGCCGUUCGGGGCGGCGCCGCUGUUCGGCGCCGAGGUGCCGCUCGGCGUGGCCGCGGUACUG
rnacentral:tRNA from 1 species